rnacentral:rRNA from 1 species
GACCGCUAUCGGGGUGGGGCUAAGCCAUGCGAGUCGUACGCCCGGGGACYGCCGGGCGUGGCGCACGGCUCAGUAACACGUGCCUAACCUACCCUCGGGAGGGGGACAACCCCGGGAAACUGGGGCCAAUCCCCCAUAGGGGAAGGGCGCUGGAAGGCCCCUUCCCCGAAAGGGAUCACGGUCGAUCUACCGUGGUCCGCCCGAGGAUGGGGGCACGGCCCAUCAUGGUAGUUGGCGGGGUAACGGCCCGCCAAGCCGAAGACGGGUGGGGGCCGUGAGAGCGGGAGCCCCGAGAUGGGCACUGAGACAAGGGCCCAGGCCCUACGGGGUGCAGCAGGCGCGAAAACUCCGCAAUGCGGGAAACCGUGACGGGGCCACCCCGAGUGCCGCCCGAAGAGGGCGGCUUUUGCCCGGUGCAAAAAGCCGGGCGAAUAAGCGGGGGGCAAGUCUGGUGUCAGCCGCCGCGGUAAUACCAGCCCCGCGAGUGGUCGGGGUGCUUACUGGGCCUAAAGCGCCCGUAGCCGGCCCGGUAAGUCGUCCCUGAAAUCCACGGGCUCAACCCGUGGGCCGGGGGCGAUACUACSGGGCUUGGGGGCGGGAGAGGC